rnacentral:rRNA from 1 species
GAUGAACGCUGGCGGCGUGCCUAAUACAUGCAAGUCGAGCGAACAGACGAGGAGCUUGCUCCUCUGACGUUAGCGGCGGACGGGUGAGUAACACGUGGAUAACCUACCUAUAAGACUGGGAUAACUUCGGGAAACCGGAGCUAAUACCGGAUAAUAUAUUGAACCGCAUGGUUCAAUAGUGAAAGACGGUUUUGCUGUCACUUAUAAAUGGACCCGCGCCGCAUUAGCUAGUUGGUAAGGUAACGGCUUACCAAGGCAACGAUGCGUAGCCGACCUGAGAGGGUGAUCGGCCACACUGGAACUGAGACACGGUCCAGACUCCUACGGGAGGCAGCAGUAGGGAAUCUUCCGCAAUGGGCGAAAGCCUGACGGAGCAACGCCGCGUGAGUGAUGAAGGUCUUCGGAUCGUAAAACUCUGUUAUUAGGGAAGAACAAAUGUGUAAGUAACUAUGCACGUCUUGACGGUACCUAAUCAGAAAGCCACGGCUAACUACGUG